rnacentral:rRNA from 1 species
UGGUUUAGUGGCGGACGGGUGAGUAACACGUGAGCAACCUACCUUUCAGAGGGGGAUAACAGUUGGAAACGACUGCUAAUACCGCAUAACGUUGUAAAAGGGCAUCCAUUUACAACCAAAAGAGAAAUCUGCUGAAAGAUGGGCUCGCGGCCGAUUAGAUAGUUGGCGGGGUAACGGCCCACCAAGGCAGCGAUCAGUAGCCGGCCUGAGAGGGUGGACGGCCACAUUGGGACUGAGACACGGCCCAAACUCCUACGGGAGGCAGCAG